rnacentral:rRNA from 1 species
AUGCAAGUCGCACGAGAAAGGGGAGCAAUCCCUGAGUACAGUGGCGUACGGGUGAGUAACACGUGGAUAAUCUACCUUCUAGUGGGGAAUAACCCUGGGAAACCGGGGCUAAUACCGCAUAAGCUCGAGAGAGGAAAGCAGCAAUGCGCUGGAAGAGGAGUCCGCGGCCGAUUAGCUAGUUGGCAGGGUAAAAGCCUACCAAGGCAAAGAUCGGUAGCCGGCCUGAGAGGGCACACGGCCACACUGGCACUGAAACACGGGCCAGACUCCUACGGGAGGCAGCAGUGGGGAAUCUUGCACAAUGGGGGAAACCCUGAUGCAGCGACGCCGCGUGAACGAUGAAGCCCUUCGGGGUGUAAAGUUCUUUCGGCAGGGAAGAUAAUGACGGUACCUGCAGAAGCAGCUGCGGCUAACUACGUGCCAGCAGCCGCGGUAAUACGUAGGCAGCGAGCGUUGUUCGGAGUUACUGGGCGUAAAGGGUGCGUAGGCGGUUGUUUAAGUUUGGUGUGAAAUCUCCCGGCUCAACUGGGAGGGUGCGCCGAAUACUGAAUGACUAGAGUGCGGGAGAGGAUAGUGGAAUUCCUGGUGUAGCGGUGAAAUGCGUAGAUAUCAGGAGGAACACCGGUGGUGUAGACGGCUAUCUGGACCGUAACUGACGCUGAGGCACGAAAGCGUGGGUAGCAAACAGGAUUAGAUACCCUGGUAGUCCACGCCCUAAACGAUGCAUAUUUGGUGUGGGCAGUUCAGUCUGUCCGUGCCGGAGCUAACGCGUUAAAUAUGCCGCCUGGGGAGUACAGUCGCAAGGCUGAAACUCAAAGGAAUUGACGGGGGCCCGCACAAGCGGUGGAGCAUGUGGUUCAAUUCGACGCAACGCGAAGAACCUUACCU